UACGUAGGUGGCAAGCGUUGUCCGGAAUUACUGGGCGUAAAGCGCGCGCAGGCGGUCUUCCAAGUCAGUGGUGAAAGCCCGGAGCUCAACUCCGGAACUGCCAUUGAAACUGUUAGACUUGAGGACGAGAGAGGUGAGUGGAAUUCCCAGUGUAGAGGUGAAAUUCGUAGAUAUUGGGAAGAACACCGGUGGCGAAGGCGGCUCACUGGCUCGUUUCUGACGCUCAGGCGCGACAGCGUGGGGAUCAAACAGG
rnacentral:rRNA from 1 species